CAAUAGUUUAAAAAAAUCUUAAGUUUAGAUUUUAAUAAAUGGAGAAUUGCUAAGCUGUCUCACGAGGAGGAAGACAACCAAAUAGAAGACAUGAAACUUGCAAAGGAAGCUUUGUCAAUUUCAUAGCUAUUCAUAUACCGUCAGAAAGGGGACACAGUAGGAUUAAAAAGAAAGAUGACUAUCAACCAGGUAUCACGUGAUUAGAUGGAUAAUCUCAGGUAACUCUUAAGAACAGAUUCACUCAAAUCAAUCUUAAUUUAGGAUAAAGAGGAAAAUUCACUUCGUUGUUUAACUUUAAUUUAUUAAUUUUAUUUUUUUCUAAUCAUUCUAGGUAGGCUAAUACAUUUCAGCAGAUAUCCUUAAUCAUUCCACAAUGUUUGAAAAUAUUUUUCAUGGAAGAAACAUGUAAAAAGAAUAUUUAAAGAAAAUGUUUAGACAUAGGAAACUUGAUAUGGAGUACAGAGAAUUCCCUUUGCAUAGGCUCAUUCCUCUCUGUUUCUGUUACUAUAGACAUCCUCAUCACCAUAGUAGCUGUUACAGUUGACUAACUCACAUUAAUAUAGCAUUAACCAAAGUCUAACUAAUAUUGGUAUAGUAUUAACCUGAGUCUUAUCCUAAUAAAGCAUUAACCAAAGUGCUUACAUACAUUAGGGUUCAAUUUGUGUUUGUGGCUUACAGUUUCUGAAAAUCUGUAAUAUGCUGUCAAUCAUUUUUACUCUACAGAAAUAGUUUAACUGACCUACAAACCCCAUUUACACAGCUUUCAUCCCCUUUUACCCUUAAGUUCUUUACUAAGACCCUAAGUCUUUCAUCAUUUUCUUUCUUUCCCAUCCACAAGAUUGUAUUGUUAGGAUAUAAGGGAGAAUUUAUUUGGGGCUUUAUGUUCCAGAGAGCAUCGGUGGAGCAGAAGGCUUGCCCAGAAAGCCACACCUUCGAGCUCAUUAUAUUGGACAGCAAGCAGGAAACAGAGAGUGAAGUAGACACAAUACUGGUUUUUUGAAAACUCAAAGCCCAUGCACAAUAAGGCCAUACCACCAAAUCUUUCAUCAACAGU
ensembl:lncRNA